AGGUAAUGUCUACUGCACCUUUAUCACUGUAGGCACUCGGUUAUGCUGUGGGCGGUGCUCCGCCUUAGACGUGAAUCGUCGAUGGUGUAAUGUGAGGCGGGGUUAGAUGCCCC
rfam:Bacillus xerothermodurans strain ATCC 27380 scaffold_6, whole genome shotgun sequence.